AUUGAACGCUGGCGGCAGGCCGAACACAGGCAAGUCGAGCGGAGGAAGGGAGCUUGCUCCUGGAUUCAGCGGCGGACGGGUGAGUAAUGCCUAGGAAUCUGCCUGGUAGUGGGGGAUAACGUCCGGAAACGGGCGCUAAUACCGCAUACGUCCUGAGGGAGAAAGUGGGGGAUCUUCGGACCUCACGCUAUCAGAUGAGCCUAGGUCGGAUUAGCUAGUUGGUGGGGUAAAGGCCUACCAAGGCGACGAUCCGUAACUGGCCUGAGAGGAUGAUCAGUCACACUGCAACUGAGCCACCGUCCAGACUCCUACGGGAGGCAGCAGUGGGGAAUAUUGGACCAUGGUCGAAAGCCUGAUCCAGCCAUGCCGCGUGUGUGCAGCAGGUCUUCGGAUUGUAACGCACUUUCCGUUGGGAGGAAGGGCAGUAAGUUAAUACCUUGCUGUUUUGACGUUACCAACAGAAUAAGCACCGGCUACCUUCGUG
rnacentral:rRNA from 1 species